UACCGUAGAGUGCGAACGACGGUUGUACCGGAACUUAAGGUUAGGGUCGGUAAAGGGUACGCAGGCGGUAUAGUAAAGUCAAGCGUGAAAGGUGUCGGCUUAACCGACAGACUGCGUUUGAAACUGAUUAUCUUGAGUGUAACAGAGGAGAGUGGAAUUCCUAGUGUAGUGGUGGAAAUACGUAGAUAUUAGGAAGAACACCAGUGGCGAAGGCGACUCGUCUGGGUUAACACUGACGCUGAGGUACGAAAGCUGGGGGAGCAAACGGGAUUAGAUACCCCGGUAGU
rnacentral:rRNA from 1 species